CGGACAUAUCGAGUGCAUAGAGGAGUUCUGUAUCUAUAAUUCUUAAAAUAAUUGUUAUGCUUUUUGUGAACGUUUAUCGUGAGUAAUUUAGUAAAUUGUUAGUAAAUUCGCCGGAAGUUUGCGGGGGGUAUGCUAGUUCUGAACGUCACAUGCUAAUGUAAAAAGCUGGUUUCUGAUAUAAAUAUGAACUUGAUUGAACAAAACAUGCAUGUAUUGUAUAACAUAAUGUCCUAGGGUUGUCAUCUGAUGAAGAUCAUCAAAGGUGAGUGCUGCAUUUAGCUGUCUUCUGGGUUUUGGUGACAUUAUAUGCUGGCUUGAAAAAUGGGUGUCUGAUUA
rnacentral:lncRNA from 1 species